rnacentral:rRNA from 1 species
CGGAACGUGCCCAAUCGUGGGGGAUAGCUCGGCGAAAGCCGGAUUAAUACCGCAUACGAUCUACGGAUGAAAGCAGGGGACUCGCAAGAGCCUUGCGCGAAUGGAGCGGCCGAUGGCAGAUUAGGUAGUUGGUGGGGUAAAGGCUCACCAAGCCGACGAUCUGUAGCUGGUCUGAGAGGACGACCAGCCACACUGGGACUGAGACACGGCCCAGACUCCUACGGGAGGCAGCAGUGGGGAAUUUUGGACAAUGGGCGCAAGCCUGAUCCAGCAAUGCCGCGUGCAGGAUGAAGGCCUUCGGGUUGUAAACUGCUUUUGUACGGAACGAAAAGGCUCUGGUUAAUACCUGGGGCUCAUGACGGUACCGUAAGAAUAAGCACCGGCUAACUACGUGCCAGCAGCCGCGGUAAUACGUAGGGUGCGAGCGUUAAUCGGAAUUACUGGGCGUAAAGCGUGCGCAGGCGGUGAUGUAAGACAGUUGUGAAAUCCCCGGGCUCAACCUGGGAACUGCAUCUGUGACUGCAUCGCUGGAGUGCGGCAGAGGGGGAUGGAAUUCCGCGU